rnacentral:rRNA from 1 species
AUUGAACGCUGGCGGCAUGGCUAAAACAUGCAAGUCCGGGAUAGCCCUUCGGGGUGAAACCGGCGGAAGGGCGAGUAAUGCGAUCGAACGUACCCCGAGGUGGAGGAUAGCUGUGGGAAACUGCAGGUAAUACUCCAUGUGUUCCAAGGAAGAAAGCUUCGGCGCCUUGGGAGCGGCGAUCGUCCUAUCAGGUAGUUGGCGGGGUAAAGGCCCACCAAGCCUAAGACGGGUAGCGGGUGUGAGAGCACGGCCCGCCGCAUCGGGACUGAGACACUGCCCGGACACCUACGGGUGGCUG